rnacentral:rRNA from 1 species
UAGCGGAUGACUUGUGGCUGGGGGUGAAAGGCCAAUCAAACCGGGAGAUAGCUGGUUCUCCCCGAAAGCUAUUUAGGUAGCGCCUCGUGAAUUCAUCUCCGGGGGUAGAGCACUGUUUCGGCAAGGGGGUCAUCCCGACUUACCAACCCGAUGCAAACUGCGAAUACCGGAGAAUGUUAUCACGGGAGACACACGGCGGGUGCUAACGUCCGUCGUGAAGAGGGAAACAACCCAGACCGCCAGCUAAGGUCCCAAAGUCAUGGUUAAGUGGGAAACGAUGUGGGAAGGCCCAGACAGCCAGGAUGUUGGCUUAGAAGCAGCCAUCAUUUAAAGAAAGCGUAAUAGCUCACUGGUCGAGUCGGCCUGCGCGGAAGAUGUAACGGGGCUAAACCAUG